GGAAUACAAAAAAGGAAGGUGUGAGGAGGUCCUAGAAAUAAGCAAAUGAAGGUCAAGCAAUGAAAGGAAUGAAUUGUUUUUAAAUAUUUUUACUUUGUAUUUUUUCUUUUUUUAUGCGUUUUGUAAAAUCUUGAAAACCUUAAUAAAUAUCUUAUGAAAAACAAACAAACUGCAGCAGUCUGAUUGGUCCUAGAACAAUAGGAUUCAGAAUGCAGCAGUCUGGAUUGGUCCUAGAAUAAUGCAGCAGUAUGAUUGGUUGGCAGGAACCACCCAAUCAUUCUCCAGAUAGAAGCGAAUCCACAACCUGAUUGGGUUACAGUAGAAUUCCGGAAUUAGCCAAUCAUGUGCAGCCCAUUGUGUAAAUAAUGUAUAUAAAGCAGAUACUUUGAGGGGACUUUCAUUCAUUCCUCCUCACCACUAUGAGCUGAAUAAAGAGCAUGAAAUCACUUUGUGAGUAUAUUUCAAAUUGGUUUCAGGUUCUUUAGGUUUGCAUGCAUAUUACCCCAAAAAACACAAAGUGAAGUGAAAGAAUACCAAUCAAAGCAAAACAGGGUUUGUUUGGUUUCAUAUACAUAGAAAGAAGACGAAUGCUUCUUUCACUUUGUUUCAUUUUUUUGGGGUGUGCUUGCAUAGAAAGAAGACGAAUAUGAGCGAGAGAGAUAAAAAGAUAGAAGUAAGCGAGGGAGGGAAGGAGAAAGCGAAGGAAGGAAGAGAGAGAGGGAGAGAAAAGGGAGGGAGGGAGAGAAGGAAAGAGAAGGGAGAGAGAGAAGGAGGAGAGAGAGAGAGAAGGGGGAGAGAGACAGAGAAGGAAGGAGAAAGACAGAGAGAGAGAAGGAGAGAGAGAGAGGGAGAAUAAAGGGAAAGAGAGAGAAGGGGAGAGCUCAGAAGGAAGGGAAAGAGAGAAGAAAGGAAGGGAGAGAGAAAGCGAAGGAAGAGAGAAAGAGAGAUGGAGAAUGAGAGAGAGAAGGAGAGAGAUAGAGAGUAGGAAGGGAGAGAUAGAGAGAGCGUGAAGGACGGCAGAGAGAGAGAAGGAAAGGAGCGAGGGAGAGAGAGAAGGGAGGGAGAGGGAGAAAGAGAGAAAGAGACAUAUGAAAGGGAGAGAGAGACUGAAGGAAGAGCGGGAGAGAGAGAAGGAAGGAGAGAGAGAAAGAAGGGAGAAAGAGAGAGAGAGAAAGAAGGAUGAGAGAGAGAGAGAUAGAAGGAGAGAAAGAGAAAGAGAAGGGGGAGAGAGAGAAGGAAGAGAGGGAGAGAGAGAAAGAGAAGGAAUGGAGAGAAGGAAGGGAGAAAGACAGACAGAGAGAGAGAGAGAAGGAAGCGGAGAGAGACAGAGAGAAGAAGGAGAGAGAGAGUAGGAAGGGAGAGAUCGAGAGAAUGAAGGAUGGCAGAGAGAUAAGGAAGGGAGAGAUAGAGAGAGUGAAG